rnacentral:rRNA from 1 species
CACGUGGGUGAUCUGCCCUGCACUUUGGGAUAAGCCUGGAAACUGGGUCUAAUACCGAAUAUGACCAUGGACUUCACGGUUUGUGGUGGAAAGCUUUUUGCGGUGUGGGAUGGGCCCGCGGCCUAUCAGCUUGUUGGUGGGGUAAUGGCCUACCAAGGCGACGACGGGUAGCCGGCCUGAGAGGGUGACCGGCCACACUGGGACUGAGAUACGGCCCAGACUCCUACGGGAGGCAGCAGUGGGGAAUAUUGCACAAUGGGCGCAAGCCUGAUGCAGCGACGCCGCGUGGGGGAUGACGGCCUUCGGGUUGUAAACCUCUUUCACCAGGGACGAAGCGAGAGUGACGGUACCUGGAGAAGAAGGACCGGCCAACUACGUG